UGGGGGAUAUUGCACAAUGGGGGAAACCCUGAUGCAGCAACGCCGCGUGAGGGAAGAAGGUCUUCGGAUUGUAAACCUUUGUUUUUGGUGACGAAAAAUGACGGUAGCCAAAGAGGAAGCUCCGGCUAACUACGUGCCAGCAGCCGCGGUAAUACGUAGGGAGCGAGCGUUGUCCGGAAUUACUGGGUGUAAAGGGUGCGCAGGCGGGAGUGCAAGUUGGAUGUGAAAUACCGGGGCUCAACCCCGGAGCUGCAUCCAAAACUGCAGUUCUUGAGUGAAGUAGAGGCAGGCGGAAUUCCGAGUGUAGCGGUGAAAUGCGUAGAUAUUCGGAGGAACACCAGUGGCGAAGGCGGCCUGCUGGGCUUUAACUGACGCUGAGGCACGAAAGCAUGGGGAGCAAACAGG
rnacentral:rRNA from 1 species